rnacentral:rRNA from 1 species
CAGUAGCCGCGGUAACCCGGAGGGUGCAAGCGUUAUCCGGAUUUAUUGGGUUUAAAGGGUCCGUAGGCGGAUCUGUAAGUCAGUGGUGAAAUCUCACAGCUUAACUGUGAAACUGCCAUUGAUACUGCAGGUCUUGAGUAAAUUUGAAGUGGCUGGAAUAAGUAGUGUAGCGGUGAAAUGCAUAGAUAUUACUUAGAACACCAAUUGCGAAGGCAGGUCACUAAGAUUUAACUGACGCUGAUGGACGAAAGCGUGGGGAGCGAACAGGAUUAGAUACCCCGGUAGUCCCUGUCUCUUAUAA